rnacentral:tRNA from 1 species
CCCUGGGUGGUGCAAAAGGUUAACACAUUCAGCUGCUAACCGAAAAGUUGGAGGUUCAAGUCCACCCCGAGACA